UUGGAUCUUAGAUCGAUGCAGCCAUUGUAU
rnacentral:piRNA from 1 species